GCGAUUGAUAGUGGUCACUCACUCGCAUAAUUUUUGAUUUUGGAUUUUACACAAACAACGCAAUGAGCUUAGCUUCAGUUAUCCACCACGGAGUUCUCGCUCCGGCGAAACCGGAUCGAAUCUUUGUUAGCGUUCCGGUGAUUCCGCCGAACUUCCGAGCUCGUGGAUGGACUGAGUCUCGUCUCUCUCUCGUUUCAGCUGCAAAUCGUCGUCUUUCUCCUAUUGCUUGCUCCCGAGGAACUGAUCAGGAAGAUGAUGUUUCUUCUUCUUCUUCUUCAGAGAAGGAGAGCAGAGAUCUUCUACCACACAAAGAUGACGAUGGAGGUCUGAGAGAGACUUUAAAAGACGAGACGUACAAAACUUCCUUCAAGACUGUUGCCUUGUGUGUAAGCGCUGCGGUGGCGUUUGGAAUCGGAAUAGGUUUGAAGGAUGGUGUUGGCAAGGCAUCUGAGUUUUUUGCUGGCUAUUUAUUGGAGCAAAGCUUGUCAGUGGACAACUUGUUUGUUUUUGUUCUCGUCUUCAAGUACUUCAAAGUGCCACUCAUGUAUCAGAAUCGGGUGCUUUCCUAUGGUGUAGCUGGUGCAAUUAUCUUUCGCUUCACCCUCAUAUUAAUAGGAACAGCUACUCUUCAGAAAUUUGAAGCAGUCAACCUCCUGCUUGCAGCAGUUCUCUUAUAUUCGUCUUUCAAGUUAUUUUCAAGUGAAGAAGAUGAUACAGAUCUAUCGGACAACUUCAUUGUGAAGACAUGCCAGAGAUUUAUUCCAGUCACAUCAACUUACGAUGGGAAUCGGUUCUUCACAAAGCAUGAUGGCAUCUGGAAAGCCACACCAUUGCUUCUCACAGUAGCAGUGAUAGAGCUCAGUGACAUAGCAUUUGCUGUUGACUCAAUACCAGCUGUUUUUGGUGUCACAAGGGAUCCUUUUAUUGUCUUGACCUCUAACCUGUUUGCAAUCUUAGGACUAAGGUCUCUCUAUACCCUGAUUUCUGAAGGAAUGGACGAUCUGGAAUACUUGCAGUAAUGUUCAUUAGGUACCCCAUGGGACAAGUAUGAUUUGUAUCUGAUCUUGUCUUUUGCCAUAACCAGCCAUCAAUAGCAGUGGUUCUUGGCUUUAUCGGAUUUAAGAUGAUCCUCGAUUUCUUUGGCUUCCAUGUGUCAACCGAGGCAUCACUUGGUAUUGUGGCGCUUUCUCUUAGCACCGGAGUACUGUUGAGCCUAACAAAUAAAUCCGGUGACAGCUAACUAAGAACGGGGAACAGAUUACAGAAGUAGUCAAUCAAACUUUUAUAAGAGCAAAAUCGCAUUGUUCAUUAUAUGAUUUCACAGAUGUGUAACUGUAGAUAUACAACAGAGAAGGGGGCAAUGCUUUGUAUGGCUUAUUAUACGUUAAAUGAUUUUACUUUUCGCUUAGUCGUUCAAAGCUGCAAAGAACAAGAUUUUUUUGUCUGUAA